rnacentral:lncRNA from 1 species
AGUUAUGUUACCAUACUAAGAUGUCCUAAGAACCGACCCAUUCUUAGAGCAAGUGACGAAGAGUUUGAUGGUUGAUACCCGAGAUCCCAAGUUCAAACCCUAGUUGAUUCACAUUUUCAGCUAAGUUUAUUUCUAAAUGAAAUAAAUAAAGCAGGUAGCGUGCUACUUAUCUCUAAAAAAAAAAAAAGUUCUAAUUGAAAUAAAUAAAGCGGGUAGCAUGUUACCUAUCUCUCUCUCAAAAAAAAAAAAAAAAAAA